CGGAAGGAAGUCUACUUGUCGAGUUCAUUUCUACCUCGCUAAGACGCACACCCUAAAUUUCUUUAGGAUUUUUGUCUGGUUCUGGCCUUGACUACACCCAUGACAUUUGACCAUGUGCACGAUUGUCAGGAAAAAAAAACGCGCCGAAUAAAUUUCGUGUCAUGUUUUAUCAAGUUCUGUGAGAAAAAUGUAUUCGUUGCAGCUGUGAGCGAUCAAUCUCCGAGGGAGUUAAAGAGUUUCCUGAUGGAAUUUUGGAACUGCCGGACAUCGAAUAAAUGUUGCUGCUACCGUCUAUUCUGCCUGCUUCUGCUGGAAAUUACGCAAGCAUCUGUCGGAACCCCUUGAUGUCGAAACUGCCGGAUGAAGCAAGCUGCCGUAGAUCCUGAAGUUUCUAGAGCUUCCGUUUGCUGUGAGAAUUUCCGGUUUUUGUUAUGUUUUAAGUUAUAAUCGUGGAUGUUUUCGUUUCUGAUAAAUAAAUAAGGGGGAGGGGUUAGGGACAUGAGGCACAGUUUCAGCGGCGUCGUACAGAGAUCCUCCCGCGUAUCGUCCAAGCUGCGUCGUAAGGUAAUUCGUCCAAGAACGUCCAGGAAUUUCCGGAGAGUUCACCAAGGAGAUCCAUCUACAUGUCGUCCCUGCUGCGUCGAAAGGAGAUACAUCCGGGAGUUGCUGGAGAGUCCUCCAAGGAAAUAAGCUCGCGUGUUUUUCCAACUGCGUCGUUAGCUGAUCCAUCCAGGAGUUGCUGAAGAACUCUCCAAGGAGUUCCGCUCGCGUGUCAUCCCAGUUGCUUUGUAAUGAGAUUGAUUGGUCCAGGAGUUGCUGGAGCAUCCUCCAAUAAGAUUCGCCAGUGUGUUGUCCCAGCUGCGUCGUCGGGUGACUAGUCCACAUAUGGGUUUAUCCGCAUAUUGAGGGAUCCGUCCAGGAGUUCCGUCGGUGCUUUGAGUAAGUUAUCCAGUAAAAAUAAUGCGAUAACACACUCCUAAUGUAUUUAUUAAUAAGUUUAACAUAUAGGUUUUGUUUUAUAUAUGUAUUUAUUUAAUUUGUAAGAAAAUAAAAUUUAUGAACAUAGCAAUUUGUUGUUGUUCCUUGGCUUUUGAAAAACAAAAAAAAAAUAAAGAAAAGAAAGAAAAAGAAGAUUUUUGACGUAUCGAUGUCUGCUAGAUAUCAGCUAGAUGUCUAGUACCCAAUGUCUAGUAGAUAUCUGAAAGAUAACUAGUAGACAUCAUCUGUCAUCCACAUUUUGAGGUAGACAAAAUGUUGCAUUGGAAGGAGAUUUCUAGUCGACUUGUAGGAGAUAUCUACUUCAAUAUCUACUAGACAUUAUUUUUAAUCUAGUAGACUUUUACUCGAUUUCUACCAGCCAUUUCCG